UUCUUACUUAUCUCCAUAUUUGUUGUUUACGUAUAGUAACACCUGGGGUGUUACAUGUUUAGUACAUUCAAACGCUUAACACAUGGUACGACACAUUAAUCCUUAUUCCAAUUCCAUUCCAAGGACAAGGCAUCCCCUAGGGAUCCAUGUCCACAGACAGUCAUAAUCCCAUUGUAAAAAUGAAUACAACCAAUUCUUGACCUCAUGUGAGUGUGUCACACCCGGAUUUAAGGGAUAAAGCCGGGUGCAUCUCAUAUGUGCGCCAACGAAGAACAUCACAUAUAAUGACAAAGUGUAUAGACAUAAAUGUCACAAAUAUCAUUAUUACAUAGAGGAAGUCUUACAAAAAUAAAUGAGAGCAAUAAAGAAAACUAAGUAUUAUUCCUUGGCGCCAUAAAGCUGACUGGGAGACGCCACCUAGAUAAGCUCGUACUUUCGUUGUAGGGCUCCUCCUGGACCUUCUGUUCUUCUCCUGUGGUGGGGGUUAUAUAUCGCAAGGGUGAGCUCACAAAAUAUCAUAGCUCAACAAGUUGUGGGGAAUAAUGUGCAUGAACUCACCAAAGGUGGGAGCUCAUAUGAAGUGUAAGGCUAAUCAACAAAUAAGGGUUAAAGCUAAGCAUUGCUUUUAAUAAGUUGGUCAAAUUUUAUUAGCAGUUACUAAUGUAAGUGGAUACCAAACCAGAGUAAUAAUAGAUCAAAAUUAAUAAUAAAACUUCAAUGCGAUGCAAAUGACAAAUUUAGUUUAAUUCCAUAAAUUAAUCAUGCGAGAGUCCUGAGCUGCUCAUGACCGCGAGCACGGCUAUAUACUAGUUUUACACUCUGCAGAGGUUGUACCCUUUACCCACAAGUCAUGUCACCCAGUUGCCAAGGGGUCUAGAAGUUCCAUUCAUCUCUACUGAGGAGAUGAGUCAGGGUAACACUAUGAGGCCUUUACAAAGUUCCACUAGCUUCAGAAGACCCGCUAUAGUUUCUAGGGAGCGCAAUGCAGGAAUCCCCCGUCUGACCGCCAUCGCAGCAAAAUCAACCCGAGAACCUCCCUACACCGCCAACUCCCCUACUGCCCUUGCCCCUUUCGGGUAAGGUAGACCUCCACUAGCUUUCCUAAUUAGUCAGCCAAGGGCGUCCCAUUCCACCCUUGUGGUGGCACGUGUUUCUCAAGUUAAGCUCCAUGUUCCAAUUAACAUAAUAGCCUUAUCAUGAAUAGAAAUAGAACAAUAAUAAAGAAUGACCAUGUGUAAUAGUUAUCUCAACACCCAAACCACAUAUAGCAAUAACAAAGACUACUCAAAAGUUUAGAGGUAAACAAGGUGUAAAGAUGACCAAACUAGGGUGACCUAUUGGGUCCCAUCAAAAUUAAGCCUAUGCAUGCCAAAAUGAUUAUAGAGAAUAUUAUUGGGUAAAUAAAAGUGGUCAAGGGCACAACUUGCCUUCAAUGAGCUCGUGCUCAGCAACUUCUACCUGCUUAACACCUGGAUCCUUGGUCACUGGUUCGUCUACUCGAAGCAAUACAAACAGACAUGGUAUAGGAGAAAUUAACACCACACCAAACAUGAGUACAAAAUACAUAAUAAUAAUCUAUGCAUCGUAAUGAGAUCAUAGGUUCGAGAGUCACUAAAUUCGGAGAUACGAUUAUCGGGUUACGAUUUUCCGAAGUUAUUAAGUGUUUGGUAUAGAAUAUACUAAGAGAUUAACUUUAACCUAUGUGUCAUGAUAAAACAAAGUUAUUAAAUGAUAAACAAUAUGAAAACAAAAUUAUUGCGACUGGAAUGGAUUAAAAAGGAGAUAAAAUGAAUUUUCUAGGAAUUAAACAAGAUUCUGGAAUUAUUUCUACACUAACAAUCAUUUUUCAUAUUAAUUUCUCUGAUUUUCUAACUCUUUGUACUGUGCGCAUGAAUAUCAGGAAAUUUAGGGGCUGGUUUACAAGAUUCCGGGGCCUGUAUGUAAUUACUUUGCAUAGGGUGUGGACUGCGGGUUGACUCAUUAAAACCCUAGGGGCCCGACUGUAAAAUAUCCCGGCCGAAACGGUAUGAAGGGUUCUCGGCCGUUCGAUCGAUAACUGACAGUGAGGACUAGAUCAUCGGUUGGCUCAAACGGUGAACCAUGGUAACCGUGAGAUCCAGAACUCAUGACCAGGAUUUAAUGAAUCGGGAACCCAUCGCGACCGUUCGCUUACGGAUCUAUGCUACAGGUCAACCCACGUGAAACGUUUUUUUCCGAUCAGAUCUUGUGCAUCCGCUAUGGAUUCAACGGCGCACACCCAUUGUCACUCUCUCGGCCACCGGAGGCGGCGACCAUCAGACAACCACGACGACGGGUUCACCGGAGCAACCCCGAACGGCCACCCUAACCCCAAAGACCUCACCCGGAACAGGCCAAACAUUGCCACGAAGUCGCAGGUUAAUAUAGGGUAACAUACCGGCGAUCGACGGUGCAACAAUCCCCGGCCACGGCGCUCCACGAAACAGCGGCGGUGGAGUGCAACGGCGAGAAAUUCCGUGAGCAUGAGGCCGCCUCCACUCAAUCACCGGCCACCGAGCGGUUCGCUGUGAUGCGCCCGCCACACCCCAACUCAAAUCCUCGGUGUUGACGGCCGCAGGUGGCGACGCGAUUGAUUCCGCCGCGCCCUCUCCCUCCCACGAAUUCACUCUCUUCUCUAUCUCCGAUGUUC
rnacentral:lncRNA from 1 species